rnacentral:misc_RNA from 1 species
UCUCCGUUGGUGAACCAGCGGAGGGAUCAUUACAGAGUUUUCACAACUCCCAACCCUUGCGAACCGUACCCAUUCUUUUCUCGUUGCUUCCGGCGGGCGGGACGGUGGGGCCCGAAACGGCCUCCCCGCCCCGCCCGCCGGGGCCGGCGGGCCCUACGAACCUUUAUAUCUCAACCACCACAAACCGUCUGAGAAAACAAACAAAAUAAUCAAAACUUUCAACAACGGAUCUCUUGGCUCUG